rnacentral:rRNA from 1 species
UGGCGGACGGGUGAGUAACGCGUGGGUAACCUGCCUCAUACAGGGGGAUAACAGUUAGAAAUGACUGCUAAUACCGCAUAAGACCACAGCACCGCAUGGUGCAGGGGUAAAAACUCCGGUGGUAUGAGAUGGACCCGCGUCUGAUUAGGUAGUUGGUGGGGUAACGGCCUACCAAGCCGACGAUCAGUAGCCGGCCUGAGAGGGUGAACGGCCACAUUGGGACUGAGACACGGCCCAA